CGUGUGCUGUCAGCUGUGUGCCUGUGUAUCCGCGAUUUGACAACGAAAUACCCGGCCGAUGUUACCCGUCAAAUUAUUGUUAUUUUGUGCAUAAGUCAUAAAUUAAUGGCAUAAAUAUCAAACUACGAGGAUUUGUUGAAUAAGAAAUUGCAUCGGCAUACCAUUUUGCUAUUGUAACAAACGUAACAAUCUCUACGCAAGAUAAGUAUUAUGUAAAAUUGUGCAUAACAAUUAACCUAUAUUGCCGCUUAAAAUUAUAAAAGAGACCUUAUUAUUAAUUCAGAGUCGCUAUACGACUUAAUAUUUGAAAAAUGAAUCGAUCAAGUAAUCUUAAGCAUUGAUAGUUGACAAAGAAUAUUUUGGGCCAAUUUUGUAUAAUUAGAUUAAAAUGUCAACAGAACCUCGCAGCAUGCAGAUUCAAUAGCAAUUUGGUUUUUAGCUUGUAAAUUGCGCACAAUGUUAAACAGAAUGUUAAAAAUGAAUCAAAGUUUUUAUAGAGAUGCAUAAAGGUAAUAAAAAAAAAGGUAUCCCAUAAAUUGAAUGUUAUUAAAUCCAUUUAUAAAACCAGCUCGAUCGUGAAUAUGCUCUGUAUCACAAAUUAAGUAUGAAUGUAAAAUUAAAUUACAUAUUAAUAAAUGAGUGUUAUUAUAA